UGCAAAAAAAUAUUUCUUACAAUAACACAAAGUCCAAAGUUUUGAUGACUCCAGUAGGAAACUUAAGAUACCUAGAGAAAUGCGUCAGUGCUCACAAAACAUCAACAAGUCAGCAGUGUGGUACAGGGUGAUCAUUUCUGAUAUCCAGUACAAAAGCUGAAACUAUUAGCCAGGAGUGGGAAAGAUGCAGACGCAGACGUGGGAAGCAAUAAGACACACCAACACACAGUUGCCAGUUGCAAAAUGGUUCAGAGUUUAAUAGAAAUAGUUAGGGUUAGCUGGUAUGGCGUUAUCUGGUAUGGCUUUAGUCUAAUGUUAGCUUAGUUCGUGUUGUUUCGUCAUGUUAAUCGCUAGUAAUAGUUAGGGAGAGCCGGGUCGAUUGAAACACGGGACGAUUGAAACACAGCGAUUUCCUCGAGAACCACGCAAGGCUUUCACGUCAAAUUUCGUCACUACGUUCAGCACGCAAGACUGACCAACCCCACGAAAUUUCAUGUAAUGACGUCCCACCGUUCAAAUGUUAUCCCCCAAACCUGUUUUAGAGACCGCUAACUAAAAUCCUUCCUGCGGUAGUUUUUUUGUAAUAAAUAGUUGUGUUUUUUGUCUCAUGCCAUAAUAAUAUGACUAUACAACAGAUGAAUUAGUACUUAAACCUGUGUUAAAGUGUGCGAUGUCAGAGUUUUGAAGUUUAGAGGUAAAAAAGGUUUAAGUGUCAGUAGUCGCUGUCGGGACGAUUGAAACACUUGUUUCAAACGCAACAGGAGUCAUGUUAUCCGGUUGACGUGGUAGUUUUUGUUUAAAUAAAUAAAAGGAUGUUCAACUGUGUAUCCUUAAACAUGACUUAGGACAGGGUAAUAAGUAAAUUUAAUGCAAACUUAGUCGUCCAAAAGAAGAAAGGUGAGUUUUAAUCGAAAUGUGCAUAUUGACAAUUACGCACAAUUACGCACGGGCCAAAAAUAUAUUUUAACCUAUUUAUAUUAUGCGGAAUUAUGUGAAAUUUUAGCAAUGACGAAUACACUACUAUGUUGUCCGGUAUAUUGCAUAAAAACAAGAGUAAGUUCAAUAGUUUAUUUUUAAAAUAUGCUGUUUCAUUCGUCCCGCAUGUGUGUUUCAAACGUCCCGACUAGGCGGGGCGUUUGAAACAGAUGUCAACUUACUUUCAAAGUUAAAAAACAGCUCGAUCAUCCAACAUAUGUAUUAAAUUACACUUGAAACUAAGAUAACACACAUGUGAGUUGUUGAUCACAUGUUGAAAUUAUUUGUAUA